rnacentral:lncRNA from 1 species
UCUCAGUAGCUGAUGUUUAUCUUGAAUUUUCCAUGGGUCAGAUACAGUGCUGAACAUGUCUCACAAGUGAUCAUGUUCAAUCCUCACCAUGGCCCCUUGAGCUCCAUCUCAUCAUUAUUGUAUUCCUGUUAUACAGAUGAGGGAAACGGAGGUAUAAGUAGUCAAGCAACUUGCCCAAGAUCACAGAGCUGGCGAGUGUGGGUCCCGCUUUCUUUGGUGCUGGGCUUUGAAAUCCCCAAGCUUUCCUGAACUUGAUGUUCUCAGGUUUUAAAUUCUAGGAUGUGAUGGCAGGGAGAUCCUGGGAUUUGGAGAGUCCUUGGAGACUUGAAGCUUGUGAGGCUUUUAGGUUGUCCAGGAAUUGGCGGCUGCAUCUCUUGACCUCAGCAGGCACUCUAUUCAACCACUGGUCAGCAUGGUAGACCAGCCCCCAGGGGCUUCUCCUGACAGGCCAUGGUGAAGACUUCCAGCUCCCAGCACCCUGCAAAGCCCAGGGUUCUAGUCGUCCAACAACCACUCCAGCCCUCUACAAGACUGGCUUCAGACCUCCAAGUCCUCCCUCCGUCCCGCUGCACUAUCUAGCCUCGGCAUUGGCUCAUCC